rnacentral:lncRNA from 1 species
CUUUCUAUGAAGGACCCCCACAAACAGAAGCCCCGCGCCCCAGACAAUAGCAUGCCGCGUGAAGAAGACCGGGGGUGUUCCGCGGGAUCCUUCUGUGGGCCUUCUUUGGAAUUUGAACCGGCAGAGCCACAAACAGCUCAGCUUGGGGCGAGAACAGGUGAGAGAGGAGAGGAUGCAACAGCUGCAGCUGGAGAUGACCUCUCCACAUGUCGCUCAGGAGUGCCUGAGGAAGACACCAGCUGUGAAGAAGCAGCACACGAGCCAGGAGCACAGCCACACCCUUCAAAACCUGCAGACCUAGAUACACAAGAGAGAAAACAAGCUGUCCGUGGCCCAGAAGCAAUUAGAGGAGGCCAAAAAAACAGCUCGCCCGACUGUAAGAAAGAGCUGCUGUGGAUGUCCAGCUGGCUGGCCUGGGAUCAGGUGAUUCUCCAGCUAAGGAUGGAGCUGCUGUCUCUGAGGAGAAGCACCGGGGAGCACAGAAGGAGCUGGUUCUUGCAGGAGGCUGAGGUCAGCAGGCUUAAUGAGAAGGUAAGGAGGCAGCAGGACCGCUUACAGGAGCUGAGCGAGAUGUGUCGCCAAGGAGACUCCCAGCUGGACCAGAAAGAGCGGGACAUGCAGCAGCUACAGAGUCAACUGCAGCUCGCCCAGCAACAGCUUCCGGCCGAAGCGGCAGGCUGGAUGGAGCGAAUGGAGAGAAUGAAGGAAGAUCUGGCCUCCUCUGGGCAGGGACAUGCUGCUGAUACAGAGCGCUGGAAUCAGAGGAAUCUGCUGCUGCAGAAGCAGCUCCAGCAGCUCCAGGAGCAGAACACCCAGCAUGCUCAGAGACAACCCCAGCCAGUCCCAGCAUGCACUGCAGCUCAGCCAGGGGAAGAUAAAGGAGUAUGAGGAGAUUCUGAAGGAGCGUGAUGAUGAGAUGAAACUUCAGUCCAGAGCCACCAGUCAACAACUGACAUCUUCAAACAGCGGAAACACUGCGGCUGUGGAGAAGAUACAACAACCGCAGACUCAGAGUCUGAGAAUGGAGGACGAGGCCCAGCUCUCUGUGAAGCAGGUAGAAGAGACCCGUGCAGAGGUCAGCAGUCUGAGAGAUGAUAUGUUCAGUCUACAGUGUCGCUACAAGAUGAAAGUGAACCAAACGGAGCUCUGGGAGGAGGCAGUCGAGCAGCUAACGGAGGAGCUUCAUGCCGCUCUGGACAGCCUGAGGACGCGAGCAGAGGGAGGCCUCUGGUGUGUGGAGGAGAUGGAGAGAUUAAGAAUGAAAGCGGAUGGUCAGCAAAAGCAGGCCCUGCAGCAGAGGGGGAAGGAGGUGGUUCAGUUGAAGACUGAGCUGCACAGCACUCGCAAAGAAAUGAAGGAGUUGCUUGAGGAUGUGCAGAAUAUGCUGGAAGAGAACUGA